rnacentral:rRNA from 1 species
UACAGAGGGUGCGAGCGUUAAUCGGAAUUACUGGGCGUAAAGCGUGCGUAGACGGUUAUUUAAGUCGGGUGUGAAAGCCCCGGGCUCAACCUGGGAAUUGCAUUCGAGACUGAAUAGCUAGGGUACGGUAGAGGGAAGUGGAAUUUCUGGUGUAGCGGUGAAAUGCGUAGAUAUCGGAAGGAACAUCAGUGGCGAAAGCGGCUUCCUGGUCCAGCACCGACGUUCAGGCACGAAAGCGUGGGGAGCAAACAGG